CUCUGAUGAACUUAGAUGGUGAGUCUAAAAGAUAAUAUAAUAUAUUCUACCACUUGAAUGUCUUGAAUCUGUUGACCCUUUGAGCCGUAGCAUAAAUUUGCGUAUACUAAAGAAAUGAAGAAACUGGAAACAUUAUACGCUCGGCUGAUUAGCACCAUGUUGCCUUGUUUCAAGUUGUAAUUUUUGUCGUUCUGAACUAUAGACUUCAAUUCCAUAUAUUCAGAUGAAUGUCCUAAGACCAACACUCCUAAAGCGAGAAAGUUACUGCCAUUUGACGUCAAACACGACCUAACACCAGAUUCUAAGAGUCCGGGAUUACCAAGAACUAAAUGCAGGAAAGUUGUUCAAGAUUGAAACUUGUAUUUUUAAUAAGUCACUUCAAAAGUCCAAUGUUUGAAUGUGCAGGUGAUGUUAGCACAUUUGUUCCUGGAGAUCUUCAGGGCUCUUUAAAGAAUAUAUGCAUCAAAACAGAUGGGUUGAGACUUAAACAAGAGGAUGUUGUUACUGCUGAUCUUAGUGUAAAAAGCCACCUUCUUUCAAGAGCUUUGGCAGCCAUAUUUCCUAACUGUGAAAAGAAAAGGGUGUUGUGCGAACAAAUAUAUUCUUUUUACAUGUGUAAAGGCUGAUGUGCAUAUGCAGUACAUGAUCAAUCCAAUUCAUUACAUUGUAUUACAAAUGACAUAAUAUUUUUAUAUUUGUCUGGUAUAUUGUGUUUUGGUUAAUCUUCCUCAGGAUGCUACAUAACAGAAUAAGGUACACAGAAGGUCGACUUCUUGGGUUUUCCUAUGAUUUUGGCGUAACCCGUAAUUCGUCAUCAAAUGCUGACGUCAUGGUCCUAGCCAGUGCGCGUUUGAGAGGCAUUCACUCCUCUGAUAUUAUUCAAAAUGGCGAACGUCCAGGGGGGAAUGCACUGAGCUAUAUUAUAUUACUGGAGGACCUGCUCGGCAUCAAAAAGUGUCGCCAAAAACAUGGCGGAUCUGACGCCAUUGCCAUGACUACUGGUCCCUAGAUUCAUGGCAACUACCACUGUCCCAACCGCGAUCCUAAGGUUUUGACGAUGUACUUCACCCCCCUGGUUUGAGCCUAAAAAUUUUGUUUUCGAGGUAAAAAUCUCACUGAAAAUCUUGAUAUUUUUCUUCAAUUUGCUUGAUUUACAACGGAUACUGCAUUUUUGGGCCGCUCGUAUGUACGAGAAUUCUCCAAACAAGUACUAGAAGAAUAUUUUAUUCAUCGGUAAGAUUUUUAUAUUUGAAUGAUCUUGAAUAUUAACUUCUAGAUUCUAGCUUGCUUUUAUAUAAAACUCGAUAGAAAUACAAAUCCCCAUAGGAAAAUGGUUGGGAAUUCUGUAAAUUUUAUUGUUCUUUUGAUUGACCACUAGCCUCUGUGUUUUCAUAUGAUUUUAAAGGCUGCUUAUAAGUUAUGGUGUCAAAAUCCUUACUGCAUGCACUUAUAUUGAUUUUAAUAGUACUACCGACUGUCAGACUUUAGUAUUUAGAGCAAAUUUUCCCUGACAAACUCUGAGAUAUAUCCUUGCCAGGUUCUUGUAGCAGUUAUAUUAUUUCUAAUUUAAUAUUGUGUAGUUAUAUUAAAUGUCACUUCUACAACAGGCAAGUGAAAAAUUGCUUUGCUAGGCCAAAGCAUAGACAAUCAAAGGAAUUCCUUUGAAUGGCUAUGGCCAAAGAUAUCAAGUUCAAACCAAUAACCAUAAACCUCUGAAUAUAUAUGCCCCAAUGACAGACCAUGGACAGACCACAAAUAUACGCCCUCCCCCUGUGUUAGCCCAUGGACUUAUUUUUGGACAGGUAUUUUUUAAUGCAGCAAAGGGAUUUCAACAGCUCAGCCCAUCAAAAAUGCUAAGGAAUGAAUACAAGCAUUCAGAGGUUUACAUGGUCAACAUCUGCCCAACAUAGUUUGUCAGAGUUUCACAAAUCGCACAGCCAUUAGAGUUGUAGUUAGGUAUAUUUGUAGGAAUGAAGGGUAUGUACGUGCCAGCCGAUGCAUAUUCACUGCCCAUGGCAUUGACCAAAAUUGUGCCCUGACAAUUAAUUAACCAAUCAAAUUGAUGAUUGAUAACAUGUUUGAGAGCAUCAUCAGUGGGGGUGUUCCCAGUAUUGGAAUAGAGCCCAACUGUUCAGUUAGACAUUAUUUAUGAACUUUCUCUCUUAGAUCUGCAUACUGUAGGUUAUUUUUGACAUAUUGUAAUGUAAAAUGAAACUUUGGGAUAGUUAAGAAAUACAAUUAAUCCAUUUAUAAUGGACAAUUGUCCCCUUGACAAGUAAAAUUGCCUGCCAUAUUAGAUGGGCUUAUAAAUGCCAGAACCUAUAUAUGUGAAAAAUUACUGGGCGAGUCAAUUUGUUUGACAUACUGUACCAUAUUAAUUAACCAUUACUGUAGGUUACAUUGUGCCCUAAUGCACCCUACUUUAUUAUUUACUCUGUCUAACACCAGACAAUUUUACUUGUGAACUGGAGAGCCACUGGUGCUCAAUGGUUAACAUAUCAAUAAUGUCUAACUGAACAGUUUGGGCUCUGCUCUACAGUAAAUUUCCCUGAAUCGGAGUCUGGGAUCUGAAUACAUCUUCAGUAUCUUCAUAUGGUACUGUCAUUAUUCUAUAUGUAUAAUGGACAUUUCUCAUUUAGGGCGAAUCUGAUGUAAGUCAUGUGGACAAGGAAUUAAUAAUACAAGUUAUUUUGAAUGUUCAAAUAGCAAGAGUAGUGGUGUACGUACUAGGUCUUGCCAGACCUAACGUCUGGCAGAACUAACAAUGACUUUUCUCUAUAAUUUUGUGGGAAUGUGUUAUAUGUACUACAAACAGCCAAAAAAUAACCCAUGAGCUCUAGUUUUAAUAGUACUGUAUUACAUGUAACUUGAUUGUACAGUUAAGUUUUAAAAUUAUUCACUGCAUGGUCAAAGAAUAAUAAUUAUCAAAUUAGCAAGUUUAAUUAAAAUAAUUAAUAUACAAAAUCAAGCAAAUUUUUUUGUCUUUAAUUAAUUUUGAAACAUUAGAAUACAUGUUUCUUGGUAUGGAGUUUCACUAACAACAGUGGCAUGAACUCUAGCCUCCACCACAGGCAUCUCACCCGAGGAAUCGGGUGGUGGGAACCCAUUUGCAGGGUAAAACCAGAGGUGUAACUUAACUCUUGCACGGGGCAAGUGAAUAUCAUGAUGGGCCAGUAAAUGUUCUAUCUUGCUUGCCCGAUUGAGCAAGUCACCUUGUCACAAAAGGCUGGGCAUCUUUAAGUUUAUGUUUUCAUUGUCGGAUAAUUUUUUUAUAGUGCAUGUACUUGAUUCAAAUUUUGUUUUAGGUGGGCCAAACUUUUAGAUUUGAGGCAGUAUAACAUAUAGCCAUAUAGAAUGGGUCAACAUGUUGUCCCCUAAAUUUAACCUCCUACCUCGGUACCCCAGUGGCUAAGUUUUAUUCAGGGCAAGUAAUUUUCAUGUCCAACUUGCCCCGAGGGCAAGUGGUCAAAAAAGUAAAGUUACACCACUAAAAACCCAUAAAGAGGCCUGCGGAGGAGGCUAAGAAUAGAUUAUAGCCAUAGGGGCUAUCAAUAUGGAAGCCAGACUGGCCUGGUUGGCAGAAUAAUUUCUUAUUUCUUUGCCGACACAAUUCUAUUGUUUUGACAAUAUUUUCAUGACCAAUGUUGUUUUGACUUUAUUUUCACCAAGUCAGUCCAGUUAGUGUUUAUAGCCAUAAAAUAUCUUCCCGGUGUAACUGAGAGCUUGCCUUGUUCUGAUGAGAUCUGAAAACUGAGCCAGUCAGGUUGUCCAUACAAUUUGAAAGGAAUUUCCACUAUAAAAAUAACCACACAGUGAGUGAGACCUUGCUUACUGGCCUAGGGCUAGCUGUCACAUUAGCCCCUACCUCAGGAACACCAGAAAUAUGCC